GCACGUGUCUGAGAAGUGGGAGCUGGAAUGCUGGGUCCUCCCCGGAAAUGGGUGGAAGAUAGAAGAGUAGACUAUUGGAAGAUAGGCACAAGAUCUACUGAAAUGUAAAUCCCUGCAGAGUUGGAAAAAGUCUGGCUCUGGACUGGAAGUUUGGGCCGGGAACCACCACGCUGUAUCCCUUAGGGUUAGUGUGUUCAUGUCACUCAAGACUCACUGGCCAAUCAGAGCCUUAAGCAGAUCUGCCAGUCAGAAGAGGAGGAGGGUUCUUUCGGGCGCCCAUGACUGGUUCCGCUUAGCUGCUGUACAGACUUGAAUGGUUCGGUGUGAUGUGCUCUGAGCCCUGCUUCUGGGUGCUGCGAGGUGCUCUCAGGCAAGCGCCGAACUUGCGACAUGGAUGCAGUGACCUAUGAUGAUGUAUAUGUGAACUUCACUUGUGAAGAAUGGGCUUUGCUGGCUCCUUCACAGAAGAGUCUCUACAAAGAUGUGAUGCUAGAGACCUACAACAACCUCGCUGCUAUAGGCUGCAAUUGGGAAGAGCAUAAUAUUGAAGAACACUGUCAAAGUUCUAGAAGACAUGGAAGGCAUGAAAGAAGUCUUACUGGAGAGAAACCCUCUGAGUAUACUCAAUGUGGUAAAGCCUUAGCAUGUCACAGUUAUCCUCAAAAGCAUGAAAGAAUUCAUUCUGGAGAGAAACUCUAUGAAGAUAUUCAAUAUGGUGAAGCCUUUAUAUAUCACAGUAGUCUCCAAAUACAUAAAAGAACACGUACUAGAGAGAAACCCUACAAAUGCAAUCGAUGUGAUAAAGCUUUUGCACAUCAUGGUAAACUUCAAAAGCAUGAAAGAAUUCAUACUAGAAAGAAAACUUACCAAUGUAAUCAGUGUGAUAAAGCCUUUGCAUAUCUUAGUAUUAUCCAAAUGCAUAAAAGAACACAUACUGGAGAGAAACCUUACAAAUGUAAUCAAUGUGGUAAAGCGUUUGCAUAUCUUAAUAGUUUCCAAAUGCAUAAAAGAACACAUACUAGAGAGAAACUUUACAAAUGUAAUCAAUGUGGUAAAGAGUUUGCAUAUCUUAGUAGUUUCCAAAUGCAUAAAAGAACACAUACUGGAGAGAAACCUUGCAAAUGUAAUCAAUGUGGUAAAGCCUUUGCACAUUAUAGUACUCUUCACAAACAUAAAAUAAUACACACUGGAGAGAAACCCUAUGAAUGUAAUCAAUGUGGUAAAGCCUUUCCACAUCUUCAUAGACUUAAAAGACAUGAAAAAAUUCAUACUGGAGAGAAGCCUUACAAAUGUAAUGAAUGUGGUAAAGCCUUUGCAUAUCGCAGUUCUCNUAAAAGACAUGAAAGAAUUCAUACUGGAGAGAAGCCUUACAAAUGUAAUGAAUGUGACAAAACCUUUGGGUAUUACACUAGUCUCCAUAUACAUAAAGCAACACAUUCUGGAGAGAAACCUUAUGAAUGUAAGCAAUGUAAUAAAGCCUUUGCACAUCAUAGUCAACUUUUAAGACAUAAAAGAAUUCACACUGGAGAGAAACCUUACAAAUGUAAUCAAAUGUGGUAAAGCCUUUACACAACACAAUUCUCUUCAAAUCCAUAAAAUAAUACAUACUGGAGAGAAACCCUAUGAAUGUAAUCAUUGUGGUAAAGCCUUUGCGUAUUCUGGUUAUCUUCAAGUACAUAAAAGAAUACAUACUGGAGAGAAGCCCUAUGAAUGUAUUCAAUGUGGUAAAGCCUUUACAUGUCACAGUGAUCUUAAAAAACAUGAAAGAAUUCAUACUAGAGAGAAACUUUACAAAUGUUAAUGAAUGUGGUAAAGCCUUUGUAUGUAACACUAGUCUCCAAAUACAUAAAGCAACACAUACUAGAGUGAAACCUUAUGAAUGAAGGCAGUGCAGUAAAUCCUUUGCCUCUUGUGGUAAACUACAAAGGCAUGAAAGAAUUCAUACUGGAGAAAAACCUUAGAAAUGUAGUAAUUGUAGUAAAGCCUAUUCAUAAUCAGGUUACCUCCAAGUACAUAAAAGAGCACAUUUUAGAGAGUAACACUGUGAAUGUAACCAAUGUAGUAAAGUAUUUAGAGGUCACAAUGAUCUUCCAAGGUGUUGUGGUUUUAAUAUGCUUGGCCCAUGGCAAGUGGCACUGUUAGGAGGUGGGGGCUUUCUGGAGUAGGUGUGUCCAUUGAGGAAGUAUAUCACUGUUGGGGUGGGCUUUGAGAUCCUAUGCUUAAGCUCCACACAGGGCAGAAGAGUCUUCUGGCUGCCUUCUGAUUAAGAUAUAGAACUGUAAGCUCCUCCAGCACCAUUUCUACUUGGACAUUGACAUGUUUCUGCCUUGAUAAAAGACUGAACCUCUGAAUACAACUCACAAUAAAAUGUUGUCAAUUAUAAAA